rnacentral:lncRNA from 1 species
UGACAGACUGGACAAGAAUCUAGAAAGAUAAGAAAAUUCCUCACCAUGACUCACGGGUAGUGGAUCGGGAUGGCCUGCGGCUGCUGCUGAUGCUACUGGAGCUACUACUACUGCUUAAGUAGCGAAGGCUGAAGGUGGCUGCUGCGAAGGAGGAUGGCAGACGGCAGUGGUGGAAAAGACUGAGGAGGAGGCGGCUGGAACGGGGUGAAUAGCAAGCGAGGAAGAACUGUCGUCUCACUGUGGCCUUUGGGUUGGGUGAUGAUGGCGCUUUGCUUUAGGGUUUCUUUAAAAAAAAUACCUUUACAGAGUUUAGUUAUUUUUAAGUCAUUUUUUAAUGGCAAAAAUUAAAUUCAAAACUCCUUAACAAUAGUUUUGUCUUUUCACAAGUUGCUUAAGCUUAUUUAUAUUUCAAAAAAUGGCAAUGAAACUAAGUUUUUUAACUUAUUUAUAUUUUUAAAAUGGUGUUAAAAAACAUUUUCUAACCAGAUUUUAGAACCAAUGAUAAAUUUACUUAAAGGUUUAAGGAAAUAAUGUUACAACCAUUUUUAGAUGAUUAAUCUAGGGUGCAUGAGAAAACGUGGUGGAGAGGGUUGUUUUUAAAAAUAUUUUAUAUUUAUAAAUAUAUAAAAGUAAUUUUUUUUAUUUUUUUAAUUUAAUUUUAACAUCAGUAUAUCAAAAUAAUUUUAAAAAUUAUAAAAUAAUAUUUUGAAGCUUAAAAAAAUUCAAAAACUUUUAAAAGCAUAAUUGCAUAAUAUGUUUGAUAUUGUGCAUAUAAUACUUUUCAAAAGUGUUGUUCGCUUGAAAAUUAUUUAAAAAAAAAUAAAAAAAAUUUGACAUCAUUACAUCAAAACUUUAAAAAGACAUAAAAAAAUUAAUUUAAUACUUUUUAACGGCUCCGUUUGUUUGCUGGAAAAUAGUUUCCUUUUGAAAAGUAAAUUCCGGGAAAGUAAAUUUCGAGAAAGUAUUUUUCGAUAUUUGGUAUUGUAAUGGAAAAUGAGUUGGAAAACACUUUCCAGUGUUUGCUUAUGUCAUGGAAAAUGAGCUGGAAAAUAACUUAUUAAUAUUUUAUUUUUCUCAAAUCUAAAAAAUUAAAAAUGAAGAAAUUAAAAUAAUAAUAAUCAACAUUUCAUAAAUUAUUUCAAAUAAAAUAAGUAACAAUCAAAAGAAUGAGGAUCAAAUUUGAUAAAUAAAAAAUUUCAAUAAAAAAAUGAUAAGGAAAAAGCAAAUAGCAAUUAUAAAAAUAAGAAACAAAGUUAAUAUAAAAAUAAAAUUUUAAGAGAUGAAAUUGAAAAAUAAAUAUUCAAAACAAAAUAUAUAUAGCAAUCAAAAGUUUGAGGAUCAAAUUUGAUAUAAUCAGCAAAUAAUGACAUUUCUAAAUUUUUCACAACUUUCGGAAAGUGUUUUCCCCUCAAAUUUUUUAGGAAAACACUUUCCUGAAAACCAAGCCAAAUUUUUCUUUUACUGGAAAGUGUUUUCCAUUGACCAACUUUCCUACUAGCAAACAAACACAAGAAAGUUUGGAAAGUGAUUUCCCGGAAACCACUUUCCGGAAAACAAACACAGCUAAAGGGAAAACAUUUUCCUGAAAACCAAGUCAAAUUUUUUUUUGACUGAAAUUGACUAGAAAGUGUUUUCCGUUGACCGGAAAGUGUUUUUCGUUGACCAACUUUCCUAAUGACAAACAAACACAAGAAAGUUUGGAAAAUGGUUUCCCGGAAACUACUUUUCGGGAAACAAACAUGGCCGAAAUCUAAUUUUAAAACACACCGAAAAAAAUAGAAGUUAUUGUACUCUCAAACACUAGUGGUGGAUUACUCUAAUUGAUUUCUUUAUCUUUUUUGUUAUUAAGAAAUACUUGAUUAAAGUAAUGAUUAUUGUGUGUGUUUGAUAUUGUGAUAGUUUUUAGUAUUAUGACUUUUAAAAAAUGGGUUUAAGGAAAACAUUUUUAGUUACCAUUUAAAAAAGUAGUAAAAAAUAUAUGUUUUGUUAAAAAUAUUGUGAGAUGAGUUUUUGCAUGUAUAACACAAAUAAAAAUUAGGUUUUCAUGAAUGAAAAUAAAGUUAUUCUAACAUUAAAGAACCAAGUUUAAAACAUGAUUACAUGUGAGGUUUAGUGUAAAAUUUGAGGCCUAGUGUAAAAGAACACAAGCUAUUUAAUUAACGAAAUGAUUUUUCCUAAUUUUCCCAUUAUACCAAAUUAAUUUAUUUUAUCUUAUUACAGUUAUAAAAAGAAAGACACAUCACAUUAUAAUAAUUAAGAUAGUUGGUUGUCGGCCAUAAUCGUGUCAUCUGCUAGUAAAUUGUUGUGUAAUUGAUAAUUAAUCAAACGCGAGCCUCAUUUAGUUUAAUUAUAAAUAUCAAAUUAUUAUGAUAGAGUAAGCCAAGUUAAACCAGCCAAGGACAUGUUCAUCCUUUACUUGAACCUUGCAUAAAGAAAAUUACGAAUGUAGUUAAAAAAAAAAAAACUAUUAACAAAAAGCUAAAGCUGAUGGUGAUUUUACUAUUCUUCAUAAUACAUUUUACUAUUAAUUUCAAUAAUGUAAUUACUAUUUUACCCUUAGUCAUUUUCUCUUUUACCUUUGCUUUGGGGCUAGGAUGGUCUUUUUCACAAGACUUGAAUAUGUUUUAAGAAUUGAGUGAGGUUAUUUUGAUACUUGUGUUUAUAAAUGCACAGUUAAAUAACAAAUUUAACCCUGGAAUAAAAAGAUUCAAUGAUUUCUGUACAAGAAUGAUUUUGUAUUUUCAUGUUUGGUCAAAUAGUGGACUUACAAAAUUACCCAUGUUAUUCUAAUUUUUUAGCCUUGCAUUCAAGGGCUUUAUGGUAAUUUUCUUAUGCUUUAUUUGUGAUUACUGAUUGUUCUUGGGGGCAUUUUUGAUUGUGUGCAAUGAAAAAAAACAAAAAAGUUGAUAGCGAGUGUAAAGUACUUGUUAGCGCGUCAACUGCUAUGGAUUUUUUAUUGACUAUUUUUUCUCAAUUUCAUCCCUAGAUUUCAAAUUUAGUCCUAAUCAUUUUCUCAAUUUUUUGGGGAUAAUUUUGAUUGUUGUUUUCAAACUUUAUCUUUAUUUGGUUUUUUCCUGCCAGAUUUUAAACCUGUUUGUUUCUGCUUCUUUUCUUUUGCAAGUUUUUUAUUAUUAAGUUUUUCAAUGAUACCAUCAUUCAAAAUUAAAUUAGAUGACAUUUAAGCUUGUAAUUGAACUUGGGUCCAUAAUCUAACAAGUUGCAGGUUUUUUUUAGAUUAGAUGAAAGUUUAAGAGGCUCAUUUGGGAUUGCUUUGUUUUUUUUUUCUUUUUUUAAAGCUAAUGUGUUUUUUUUUUUGGAAUUUUGACUCUUUUUGUUCUGGUUUUCCUUCAAUUAGGUUAACAUCAAGUUGUUUGAUAAUCCAGAUAGGCUCGGGCAUGGUUCUUUCUAUCUUUUUUCUCAUUAUUUUUUUGGUUAAUUUAUUUAUUGUUGUUGUAUUUCAUUUUUUUUAUAUAUAUUAUUUAAAUUGCCACUUUAAAUACUGACUUUGAACUUGAAUUUUUUUUUAUGCCUGUCAUUUUUUUACAUAAAAAAAUUAUUGUUCCACUCACGGUGAAACGUCGACAACAUGUCUAGUUAGAACUAAAAGAUUAGCAAGGGUGACACGAUUUGUUUGAAGGAUCGUUGCCUUCAAUUAUUAGGUGGUAGAGUAAGGAAAGAAAUCAGUUACUGAGCAUUAAAACUAUCAGGCUACAAUGACAUCCCUAUAUAGGCCAUAUGAUAAUCCAUGUAACCUUUACAUCUUUAUAUAGAUACUCUCUAAAGCAAGCCACGUAUAUGUUCAUUUAAAAAGUCAUUCUUUAUUUGGUUGCAACUUGGGAUGGAAGUAUCCUCCGACGGAAUGGACUAAAUUGAAUGUGGAUGGAUGUAGUAAACUAAACCUAGGGUUUAUAAGUGUUGGAGGAUUGUUGCGGGAUAGUAUGGGGACUUGAAUCAAGGGAUAUGUUAUCAACAUAGGUAUGUGUUCUUCAGUUUGGGCUAAGUUGUGGCCAAUGAUUACAUGGUUGGAACUUGGUUGGUCCCUUGUGUUAUGAAGAAUCAUGUCGGAAUCUAACUCACUGUUGGUAGUGCACUUGAUCACAAAGAACAUUGUCAAAGUGGAUGCUAACUAUGCUUUAAUUAAUAAAGUGAAGACAAUUCCAGAGAGAGAAUGAGAAUCAAGUGUCAACAUAUUUUCCGUGAAGCUAAUGCAACAGUUGAUUGGUUAACAAAUUUUGGCUUAACAAAGAGUCCUCUCAGUAGAGAUGACUGGAUUAUUGAUGACUCAUCUAUGGGUUUAUCUUAAUUUUAUACCAUGACUUGGUUGGGUCAACGUUGUGUUGUUUAAUUUAAUUUUGGUGUUAACCCUAAUUUUAAACAAUAAAAAAAAAACAAAACAAAACUUUUUUUUCUUUUUGAGAUGGAAGAUAAAGAUGGUAAUGUCUUAUAAUUUACCUUUUCAACUACACAAUCAUUGAUGAUACAAGUUGGCCCCUCUUCCUCCUUUACUUCUUUUUCUUUGUUUUUGUUUUUUGUUUUUUGUUUUAAUUGGGAUUUGAAUUAUAGGGGUUGAGAAGUCAUGCCUACCAUUGCAAUUUAUUGACAAAAAAUUCCAACUCGUUCAUGAUCUCACCAUCGGUGUUUAAUUCAGCGCUUGUAUGGUCACCAUUAAUGCCCACCCUAUUACGCUUCAAAUUUAGGACACCAUAUAUUUUCAUUUUCUUUUUUUACUUGAUAAUUUUGUUUAGAUAACAAGAGUUUCAAGUUCAUUUAAUUAUGACGCCUUUUUGUUGAUUUUCAUAAAUUAGUUAUUUAUUUGCUAAUUAACUACACUCUUUUUAUAAACAAAUAUGUUAAUUUAAUGGCUUAACAAGGAAAGAAAUUGAGAGAAAAGAGAAGGGAAUUAAAGAAGAGAAUAAAGAAAAGGAAAUACAUUGUUUUAUUAUUACUUAUAUCUCAUGUUAUUCACGUUGUUCUUUUUUAUAUAGUGCAGCAAAGCCUAUUGUUGUAACUAGUUAUCCCUUUCCAAUAACUAACUUCAACUAACUAUUAACUACCCUUAACUAACUUGUAAACUCAUGUUCCACGUGCUUAAUCUCUUUUGUUGCUGCAUUGCUAUUUCUACACUUCUUUGUUACUUAACGUGCUUAAUGGAAUGACUGUAACAAUACUUUAUCCCUUUAAUUGAUUCUUGACCUCAAGAAUCGAAACAAAACUCAAGAAAUUGUUGUUAAGUCUUUUCUAAUUCCUCCAAUGUUGUAUCCUCAUGAAAGGAAUUAAACCACUAUAUUAGUCCUACCACCAUAGUCUUAUAGUCUUUUUUCAUGAGCUUCCUGUCCAAAAUUGUAAGUGGACAAAUCUUAAUCAUGCCACUGUCAUCCAUUACUAAAAUUUGUUGCGAUGUCGCGGUCGCACAAAUUAAUUACCCUAGCUUAAAACACACAAGAUAUUAUAGAGCAAGCAAGGGGUCGAUCCCACGAGGAAGUUUGAAGUUAGAUUUUUAUGUUGUACGUUAUGUAAUUGGGGGGGAUUGAUUUGAAAUGAUUUAAACUAUGGCAGAAAUUAAACUAGCAAACAAAAUCAAUUGAAACUGAAAUAUAUCAAGAAAACAAACCUUGGUUGCAAGCACACAUCCACCAACGGAAAUUAGAACCGAUCCUUGAAACGAAACUCCAGUUUAUAUUAUGAAUUUUAUCUUUUCUUAAUAUUGGUUAAUUAACGGAUCCGCCGUAUAACUAUCCCUAACCAACAAACAAUCACAGUGUCCGCACUAAUGAUUUAAUCCAAUGGCAGCCUUAAGAUCCAGAUAAAUUCAUUAAUCUUAACAACCAAGUUGUCAAUUUGUGUUGCUAUGAUCGAAUGUUCUCCCUAAGUUUAAUAACGUAGUUCCGCUACAAUUAUCAAGCUUAGUUGCUUCACAAGUUUAUAUACCACAACUCCGGUUUUGAUAUCAAACUUAGCAAUAGAUUGUUCACAAUAAUAACUUAGAGUCCGCUCUAGCAAUUAAGAUAAACAAUCAUAGGAAAUAUGCAUAGGAAAACAAACAUACUCAUUCAUAACAUAAACUGAAAAUAAAAGGAAGAAUAAAUCUCACGUUCUUGAAAUCCGAAGGUUUGUUGUGUCCUUGCAACCAAGAAAACGAGCUUAGCCUUGCAUAUCUAUUGAACAACUACUCCUAAAGAUGAAAGAAUACAUAAUUUCUGAUUUGUAGAGAGGAGAGUUUGUGUUUCCUUCCUUCUUUUCUUUCUCUUUUCUACCUCCUUCUACUCACCCUCUAUUUAUACACAAAUUGUAAGUAAGAAAAUAUCAAAGUUCAAGUGUGAACAUCAAUAGAUGGUGGUAGUGUGAAGGCUGGCUGGCUGGCUGGCUGCUGGGUGAGGUUGGUGGCUGCCAUGAGGUUGGUGGCUGCCAUGAGGUUGGUGGCUGCCUUCCUUGACCUUCUAGAAUAUUUACUAAGGAGCUAAAUUGCUGGUCGGUUUGGAUGCUUCUAGAUGAAAUUUGGAUUCGUUUCUUCACGCAACCUGCUUGCUGGCAGAAUUCAGCUGUCAUCUUUGAAAAAUCAUAUAUCCCUCAUAUGACAUCGUUUUUGGCUGAAAUUUGGAGCGUUUAUAGAUCUUUGAGUAAGGAAUCCAACAAAAUUGAGUUUGCAUCAAUUGGACUUCUGAAGCUCCAGAUAUUGAAUUUUGAAUGGGCAAAGGUCAACAUUGACAGACUGCGAGAUUUGACUUUGAAGGAUGUGAUUUCAAUGAUCUUUCUCUUUUUAUUUUUCUUGCAUUACAUUUCCAGAAAGGUAUGGAUGUUAGCUUUUUAAUGCCACUAGAAUCACUUCAUUUCGAUCUCUGGAACUCACGCUCUGCACAAAAUACCGACUGAACGUCAAAUCUGCCAAUUACCUCCAAUUUACUCCUUUUUGCAUCUUUCAUCCAAAAAUGCCUUCAAAACAUAAAACAAAGAAUAUCAAGGCAUUUUAUAUAAAAACAUAUGCAAAACACUAGUUAAAUGCGGUGAAACUAUCGAAUAAUAUGGUUACAUCAAAUACCCCCACACUUAGCUCUUGCUCGUCCUCGAGAAAGGAUAAAUAAAAUUAAAUUAAAUAACUAUGAUCAAUUCUUAAUCUCCCAUCAAUGUCUAAGAGUACAAGCAUUAUAAACAAGAAUACAAUCAUGAAGGAUAAAUAAUAUAAUUUCAUGAAUUUAUUUACAUGCAAACUUCAAAACUCAAUCAAUCGUCGGAUUUAAAUGAAAUCUAUGCCAUGCCAAAGUGAUAGGUCCUCUCAUUGAUAUACACUCCAACACUCAUGUGUUUAGGGUUUAUGUGUUUAAAUCUCUCAAAUUCAAUCAAAGAGUAUGUUCUACCAUAAGCUUGCUUUUCAAUCUCAUCUCCAUUAGCAACUAUUACAAGUAUCAUGAAUCAAAAGGUCUUAUUUUCCGGUUGUAAUGGGGCUAGGUUAAGGUGAGGUAAAAGAAAGUAAAAGGAAAGGUUCAAACCAAAGAAAGUAGAGCAUUUAAAAAUGAUAUUCAAACAAGAUAUUCCAUCAAAGCACAUAAAUUUUCAUCUUUAAUCACAAUGCUUAACUCCUUUUGAUUUCAAGCUCUUUCAACAUAAAAUCUUAAGAACAUAAAGGAACUUUUUUUUCUUUUUUUUUUUUUUUUUUUUUUUUUCUUUGGCAACUUGCCCAUUUUUCAUCAAGCAUCACUUCUUUCUUUUCAUAUAAUUUCCAACCAUAAUUCCAUAAAUAUUACAAGUAUAUGCUCUACUAAUCCUUGGCCAGGGGAAAGAAAACAUAUAUAAAGUUAAGGCUUAUACAUGGAUAAAGCAAAAAAAGAUAAACAAGCUCAAAAGGGUUCACUAAGGAUAAUAUGCUUUAGGUUGGCUUUUUGGCUUGAGGUUAAAAUUCCUAAUGCCUUUAUCAUCUUCAUGUAUAUUUGUAAUGGAUAUAAUCUCAAUAAGAUAUGAAGCAAGUUCUAGAGAUACUAUCAUUGAAAGAAUGCACACUCAAAGAAUAUAAUGUUGAAGGCUCAAAAGCUUGCAUUGGUAUAACACUAUAAAGUCAACAUGGCAUAUUCUCAAAGUCAAUCCCUAAACCAAUUAAACCUUAAAAUUUGCAUGCAUACUCCUUCAUUUGAUUUAUAUCUUCAUCUAUCUCAAUUAAUUCUCAUAUAUAAUACUCAUAUUCUCAAAAAACCAAUGGGAGUUAAAAAGAUCAAACACAAUUUUUUUUUUUUAAAAAAACAACAAAGAAAAUAAAAUAAGAAAACCAAAAUUCUCCAAUACCCCCACACUUAAAACACAACAUUGUCCUCAAUGUUGAAAUAAAAGCAAAGGAACAUAAGAGAAUGACAAAAUAAAGUAAAAUACGAAAAAUAAAAGAUAAGGAAAAAGAAAGCAAAUCUGAUUUUUUUUUUUUUUGUGCUGGGUUGCCUCCCAGUAAGCGCUUUUGUUUUAUGUCAUUGGCUUGACAUGUGCAUGCUCAUUCUUCAUAGAUUGGUUCAGCUAACUCUGCAGAAGCGGUGAGUUCUGCCGUCCAACCUUCAUAGAAAGGUUUCAAACGAUGCCCAUUGACUUGAGUAUUUGUUGUUUCUAAACUUGUAAUUUCAACUGCACCAUAAGGAAAAACAUUAGAAACAACAAAGGUCCAAUCCAACGAGAGCGUAACUUUCCAGGAAAAAGUUUCAAACGCGAAUGAUAAAGAAGGACUUUGUCUCCAACAUGAAACUCCUUUCUUGUAAUCAUUCGGUCAUGAGACUCUUAGUCUUUUCUUUGUAAAUCCUUGCAUUCUCGUAAGCAUCAUUUCGAAUUUUCCAACUCUUGCAAUUGCAACUUUCUUGCAAUCCCAGCAGCAUCAUAAUCCAUGUUACAUUUUUAAUGGCCCAAAAAGCUUUGUGUUCAAGCUCCACCGGUAGAUGACAUGCUUUCCAUAAAUCAUCUAUAAGGUGACAUUCCUAUAGGUGAUUUAUAAGCAGUCCGAUAAGCCCAAAGUGCAUCUCCAAGACGUAGACUCCAAUCUCGCCGGUUAGGUUGCACUGUUUUCUCCAAAAUGGACUUGAUUUCUCGAUUUGAAAUUUCAGCUUGGCCAUUCGUUUGAGGAUGAUAUGCUGUGGAAGUUCGAUGAGUCACAUGAUAUUUGCGUAGCAAUGCUUCCAUGGAACGAUUGCAGAAAUGAGUGCCACGAUCACUAAUGAUAGCUUUAGGGAUGCCAAACCUGUCAAAUAUGUGAGUCCUGACAAAAUCUAAAACAACCUUAGCAUCAUUAGUUCGUGUGGCUUUCGCCUCAAUCCAUUUGGACACAUAAUCAACAGCAAGAAGAAUAUAAAGAUUUCCAAAAGAAGAAGGAAAUGGACCCAUAAAGUCAAUACCCCAAACAUCAAAAAUUUCACUUACAAGAAUAUUCGUUAAAGGCAUUUGAUUCUUAUGAGUGAUAUUACCUGUUCUUUGGCAUUUUUCACAUGAUUUGCAAAAGUGAUAUGCAUCUUUAAAAAUAGAAGGCCAAUAGAAACCACUUUCAAGUACCUUGUGGGCUGUUCUUUUUGCUCCAAAAUGCCCACCACAAGAAUGAGAAUGACAAAAGUGAGAAUGGAAUGAAAUUCAUCUUGUGUACACACUCCUAACUAUUGAUCCGCACAAAAUUUCCAAAGGUAAGGAUCGUCCCAAAAAUAAUAUUUAGCAUCAGCUCGUAACUUAUCUUUUUGGGGUUUAGACAAACCUGGAGGGAAUUCGUUGGUGACUAAAUAGUUUACCAAAUCAGCAUACCAUGGUCUUGUAGAGGAAUGCAACAUAUACAACUGCUCAUCGGGAAUGUCUCUCUUAUUGUUUCGAUUGUAUAUCCUCGUCCUUAGUCGGCUCAAGUGAUCAGCCACAUGGUUUUCAGCACCUUUUUUAUCUUUGAUCUCAAGAUCGAAUUCUUGUAAAAGCAAGAUCCACCUAAUCAGUCUUGGUUUGGACUCUUUUUCUUCAAAAGAUACCUUAAGCUGCAUGGUCAGUAAAAACAAUGACUUUUGUACCAAGUAGAUAUGACCUGAAUUUUUCAAGAGCAAACACACACUGCAAAAAGUUCCUUUUCAGUUGUAUGGUAAUUGCAUUGUGCUCCAUCCAACAUGCGAGAAGCAUAGGCGAUAACAUGCAAAUUCUUCCCAAUUCUUUGCCCAAGCACAGCUCCUACCGCAUAGUCACUCGCAUCACACAUUAUCUCAAAAGGUUCAUCCCAAUUUGGUGGUUGGAUGAUAGGGCAGAUGUGACACGUCUCUUAAGCUCAUCAUGGGCAUCUUUACAUGCUUGAUCAAACACAAAAUCCACUUCUUUGGCUAAUAGUUUGCACAAGGGUGUGUAAUCUUCGAGAAAUCUUUGAUAAAGCGUCGAUAGAAACCUGCAUGGCCUAGAAAAGAACGAAUUCCCUCACGCAUGAGGGGUAAGGCAAUGAUGAAAUAACAUCUAUCUUAGCUUUAUCAACCUCUAAUCCACGUGAAGACACAACAUGCCCAAGAACUAUUCCUUGUUCUACCAUAAAAUAACACUUUUCAUAGUUCAAGACAAGGUUAGUUUCAAUGCACCUUUUCAGGAUCAAAGAUAAAUUUUCUAGACAUUUAUCAAAAGAAUCACCAUACACUGUGAAAUCAUCCAUAAAAACCUCAAUUAUUCUUUCAACAUAGUCAGAAAAAAUACUCAUCAUGCAUCUUUGAAAAGUUGCGGGAGCAUUACAGAGACCAAAGGCAUUCUCCUAUAUGCAUAUGUACCAAAUGGACAUGUAAAUGUAGUCUUUUCUUGAUCCUCAGGAUUAAUAACAAUCUGAUUGUAUCCACUAUAUCCAUCAAGAAAGCAAUAAAAAGACUUACUGCCAAGCGUUCAAGCAUUUGGUCCAUGAAUGGUAAUGGGAAAUGAUCUUUGCGUGUAGCAAGAUUUAGCUUUCUAUAAUCAACACACAUUCUCCAUCCACUCGAGAUGCGAGCAGGAAUGAGUUCAUCAUUUUUAUUUUUCACCAACGUGAUUCCGGUCUUUUGGGCACCACAUGGAUUGGCGCCACCCAUUUACUGUCCGUGAUGGGGUAAAUGACACCUGCAUCUAACAGUUUCAAAAUUUCAGCUUUCACUACCUCCAUCAUAGGCGGGUUCAACCUCCUUUGCAUUUCCCUUGUUGGUUUUGCAUUGUCCUCCAAUAGUAUGUGAUGCAUACACAUUGAGGGACUAAUGCCCUUGAUGUCGCUAAAGUCCAUCCAAUGGCCGUCUUGUGAUCACACAACAACUUCACAAGUUUUUCCUCUUGCAUACUUGUCAAACCUUUUGCUAUGAUAACAGGAAGUGUAUUGUUGUCACCAAUGAAUACAUACUUCAAAUUAUCGGGCAAAGGUUUUAAUUCUAACUCGGGGGCCUGUAAAAUAGAUGGCAAAGCUUUUUAUGUGAGAGUACUAAAUCAACAAAGACAUUACCAUGGGGAAGGUUUGUAAAGCUUGUAAGCCAAUACUGAUUCGUGCACAUUUUGAGAACACACACGUGCCUCUCCAUCUUUUUAUCUUGGUGAAAUCAUAGCCAUAGCUUAAAGCUAUGCUUAAUCCGUCUUCACAAUCAAAAUCACAAACUUGCUGCACACACUUAUCAAUUGGUCAUAGCAUGUGAUAGAAUAAACAUUGCUAUAAGGAUAUUUCAUUGCAUCAUGAAAAUUAAUUCAUUUUUUCAUCUCCUACUUCCAUAGACAAAGUAUCCUUACCACAAUCAAUCUUUGUAUUGGCAGUUUUCAAGAAUGGUCUCCCAAACAAUAUAGGAGUGUGUUGAUGAAUCACAAGAAUCAUGUUCCAUAUCAAGAAUAUAAAAGUCACAUGGAAUAACCAAACUAUCAAUCUUGACUAGGACAUCUUCUAUCACACCAAGUGGGUAAACAAAACUACGAUCCGCAAGUUGUAUUACAAUACUAGUUUUAUUCAAAGGCUCAGACUAAGAGAAUCAUAAACAUGUUUGGCAUAACACUAAUGGAUGCACCUAAAUCGCAUAAAGCCUUUUAAAACUAGCAUUACCAAUAACACAUGGGAUAGUAAACGCACCUGGGUCUUUUUUUCAAAGGCAGAUUCUUUUGAACAACAGCAGAUACAACUUCACCCAUACUUACCAUUUCAUGACCUUUCAGUUUGAAAGCUCUCUUGGUAGUACACAACUCCUUCAAAAUUUGGCAUACUUGGGAAUUUGCUUGAUAGCAUCAAGCAAAGGAAUGUUGAGUUCUACUUUCUUAAAACCUCUAAAAUCUCUUUUUCUUUGUCCUCUUUCUUUGACCUAGAAGAACUCAUAGGAAAGGGUGGAAUUGUUUUAAAACUGGAAUUCAUUGAGUGAGGAGUUACCUUUGGAGUGUUGGUCUUUGUUUCAGUUUGUGGAGAGAGGAGAUGUUCCUUCUUUGUACUCAAUUCAGUUUCUAUCUCUUCUUCUUCCUCCAUCUCAAUUUGUUUUAACCUUUUCUCUUCAAGUUCUUUCCCACUUCGCAGCAUGAUCGCACUAACAUUCUCUUUUGGAUUCAAUGCUUGGGAGGGCAAUUUUCCAUUCAUUUGUGCUUCCAAUUUCCCCACACUUGAAGCUACUUGCCCCAUUUGCUUUCCAAGUUGUGAAUACUUGACCUUGUUUCCUGUUGAAAAGACAUGACAUUUUGUUGCAAGGUAACAGUAUUAGAAGCCAAAGUUUUCAUCAUCUCACGAAGAUCAUCAUUGGAUGACGACCCCAUAACAUUGGAGUUUGUGAAUGGAGGGGGUUGUCUUGCUUGAUAAUUCUGUUGGGGCUGAAAUCCAUUGGGAUGGAAUUGUCGGCCUUGAUUGCCUUGUUGAGGUUGGUUCCCAUACCGUAGGUUAGGAUGAUCUCUCCAUCCAGGAUUGUACGUGUGGGAAAAAGGAUCAUACUUACGCUGAGGCUGUCCAUUAAAUGCUCCAUCAACUGCAUUAGCUUGUUCAAUGUAAUCUUCUUGCAUUGUUGGGCACAUAUCUGAAGCAUGUCCUUGUGAGGAGCAUAUGCUACAACUUUCACCUGUACAUUGCCACAAGCCAAAGAACGCACAAGAGAAGUAAGAUCAUUAACUUUAUUUCAAGGUUAGAAAUACUUACCUCAUUUACUCGUUUGUUGGAAAGUCUCCACGAGUGCCAAAUGUUUCGAGUUGGCUGCCAUGUUUGAGAUCAAUUGGCGUGCAGCCUCGGUGUCUUAUCUACCAAUGCCCUCCACUUGCAGCAUCAAUGAUACUACGGUCAGUAGGCAUCAAUCCUUCAUAGAAAUAUUGAAUGAGCAGCUGAUCGGGUAUUUGAUGAUGAGGGCAUUGAAUACAUAGUUGCUCAAAUCUUUCCCAAUACUCGGAAGUCUCUCCAUGAGAUUGCGAAUCCCACAUAUUUCUUUCCUUAUGUUGGCAACUCGAGAUGCUGGGAAAUACUUCUCAAGGAAAUCUUUUCAUGCAUUCCAAGUUCCAAUUGAACCUGGGAGAAUGAGAAAAGCCAUGCUUUGCUGCCCCUUUUAAAGAGAAAGGGAAAGCUUUCAACUUAACUGUUCUUCAUCAACUCCAUUCGGUUUCAUGCCAACACAAACCAUAUGGAACUCCUUGAGAUGAGUAUGAGGAUCUUCUCCUGCAAGACCAUUAAAUGUUGGUAACAAAUGUAUAAAACCAGAUUUGAGCUCAAAGUUUACAUUAUUGUCGAUGUUUAUGCACAAUGGUGAUUUUCCACGUUAGGAGCAGCAAGCUCCUUGAGUGUUUGUUGUCGUGCAACCGCCAUGGUGUUGAGGCGAGCUUCCUUUCUUAACCUGCGUAAAGUGCUUUCUAUUUCAGAUCAACUGCACUAGACUCUGAUUAGUAGAACGGGUUACUGGCAUCAAUGCUAAGAAAACUCAAAAGAAACAACCACACAAGAGAAAAAAAAAAUGCAAAUUAUAUGAAAAUCUACGCUAGAAAACUAAAACUGCCUAAAAACCUAGAAAACAGCAGAAUUUGGCCUCGAUAGGUGGGGCUAGUGGUUACCACUAGUCUUGUUCAGAACGUCGUUUCACUUCAAGAAAAAAGGUUAGAAACCUAAUUCCACAAACAAUUCUGUUUUGAACAGUACCGCUGCGCAAGUGAACAGUAACACGCCGCAAGCAAAAAUUCUGUUUUUUUUUUUUUUUUCCAGAAAUGUAAAUAACAAUCACAGAAACUAAAAAUAACAGUACAAGCACAAGAAUCAACUAAAAUUACUUCCCCGGCAACGGCGCCAAAAUUUGUUGCGAUGUCGCGGUCGCACAAAUUAAUUACCCUAGCUUAAAACACACAAGAUAGUAUAGAGCAAGCAAGGGGUCGAUCCCACGAGGAAGUUUUAGUUCAGAUUUUUAUGUUGUACGUUAUGUAAUUGGGGGGUUGAUUUGCAAUGAUUUAAACUAUGGCAGAAAUUAAACUAGCAAACAAAAUCAAUUGAAACUGAAAUAUAUCAAGAAAACAAACCUUGGUUGCAAGCACACAUCCACCAACGGAAAUUAGAACCGAUCCUUGAAACGAAACUCCAGUUUAUAUUAUGAAUUUUAUCUUUUCUUAAUAUUGGUUAAUUAACGGAUCCGCCGUAUAACUAUCCCUAACCAACAAACAAUCACAGUGUCCGCACUAAUGAUUUAAUCCAAUGGCAGCCUUAAGAUCCAGAUAAAUUCAUUAAUCUUAACAACCAAGUUGUCAAUUUGUGUUGCUAUGAUCGAAUGUUCUCCCUAAGUUUAAUAACGUAGUUCCGCUACAAUUAUCAAGCUUAGUUGCUUCACAAGUUUAUAUACCACAACUCCGGUUUUGAUAUCAAACUUAGCAAUAGAUUGUUCACAAUAAUAACUUAGAGUCCGCUCUAGCAAUUAAGAUAAACAAUCAUAGGAAAUAUGCAUAGGAAAACAAACAUACUCAUUCAUAACAUAAACUGAAAAUAAAAGGAAGAAUAAAUCUCACGGUUCUUGAAAUCCGAAGGUUUGUUGUGUCCUUGCAACCAAGAAAACGAGCUUAGCCUUGCAUAUCUAUUGAACAACUACUCCUAAAGAUGAAAGAAUACAUAAUUUCUGAUUUGUAGAGAGGAGAGUUUGUGUUUCUUCCUUUUUCUUUCUCUUUUCUUACCUCCUUCUACUCACCCUCUAUUUAUACACAAAUUGUAAGUAAGAAAAUAUCAAAGCUCAAGUGUGAACAUCAAUAGAUGGUGGUAGUGUGAAGGCUGCUGGCUGCUGGCUGCUGGGUUGAGGUUGGUGGCUGCCAUGAGGUUGGUGGCUGCCAUGAGAUUGGUGGCUGCCUUCCUUGACCUUCUAGAAUAUUUACUAAAGGAGCUAAAUUUCUGGUCGGUUUGGAUGCUUCUAGAUGAAAUUUGGAUUCGUUUCUUCACGCAACCUGCUUGCUGGCAGAAUUCAGCUGUCAUCUUUGAAAACUCAUAUAUCCCUCAUAUGACAUCGUUUUUGGCUGAAAUUUGGAGCGUUUAUAGAUCUUUGAGUAAGGAAUCCAACAAAAUUGAGUUUUCAUCAAUUGGACUUCUGAAGCUCCAGAUAUUGAAUUUUUAAUGGGCAAAGGUCAACAUUGGCAGACUGCGAGAUUUGACUUUGAAGGAUGUGAUUUCCAUGAUCUUUCUCUUUUUAUUUUUCUUGCAUUACAUUUCCAAAAAGGUAUGGAUGUUAGCUUUUUAAUGCCACUGGAAUCACUUCAUUUCAAUCUCUGGAACUCACGCUCUGCACAAAAUACCGACUGAACGUCAAAUCUGCCAAUUACCUCCAAUUUACUCCUUUUUGCAUCUUUCAUCCAAAAAUGCCUUCAAAACAUAAAACAAAGAAUAUCAAGGCAUUUUAUAUAAAUAACAUAUGCAAAACACUAGUUAAAUGCGGGUGAAACUAUCAAAUAAUAUGGUUACAUCACAUCCAUUACUAGCGAGGUAGAUGAAAACACACUUUCUUCACUAAUCUUUCAUUUCAAAAGUGAAACAUGGAAAGACAAGCUGGAAUGAAUUACUUUCUAGUAAGUUUGUAAGCUAUAGUGCCAAUUCUCGUAAUGAUUUGGUAUAAGCCAUAAUACCUAAGAUUUAACUUAUAAUUCCUUUUAAAAGACACAUUGUCUUGUCUAUAUGGUAUCAACUUUAGAAAUACGCAAUCUCCUUCUACAAAUUCAUGUUUAGUCCUCCUUUUAUUUGCUAUCUGCUUCAUUUUGUUUCUUGUUGUUUCUAGCUGAUUUUUAACACUUGAUCCAUGUUAAGUCUUCUUUCUACUAACUCUUCCAUGAUAAUAAUUAUAGUAGAGUCCAGUAGGGAGUAUCUUUCUAAUUGGUGGUAUGUAACUAAAUAAUGCAUGAAAUUGAGUCAUGCUUAUAGUAGAAUGGAAGUUGUUAUUGUACCAUCAUUGUGCAAGAGAGAGCCACAAGCACCAUUUCUUGGGUUAUGCAUAGUUAUGCAUCUUAAGUAUAUCUUCAAGCAUUGGUUCGCCCUCUUUGUUUGGUCGUCAACUUGAGAGUAAUAUGAGGUGCUCAUUAGCAAUUUAACUCCCAACCUCUUGAAUAGUUUUUUCCAUAAAAGGCUUGUGAAAACAUUGUCCUUAUCAAUAACUAUUCUGGAAGGUGAUCCAUGAAAUUUGUAAAAAUGGUCUAAAAAUAUGUGAGCAAUAUCUUAAGCCAAAAAUGGAUGAGAUAAUGCUAUGAAAUGCCCUUAUUUCAUUCAUUUAUAUGCAAUUACCAAAAUAGUAUAUUUCCUUUCAUUUAGACAAUCCCUCAAUAACAUCUAUUGAGAUGUCUUCUAAUGCCCUCUUGGGAGUUAGCAAGGGUUGUAGUAAUCCUUGAUAAGAUACAAUUUCUGCUUUAGCUUAUGAACAGAUGCUACACUACUAGACAAACUCUUUCACUAGCUUUUUCAUGGCUGACAAGUAGAACUUAAGACUUUUGUAAGAGUUUUGUAUUCCAGCAUGACCAUCAAUACAGGAAUUAUAUGUAAUUUACACUAACUGAUUUCUUAAGGGUUUAUUGUCUUUAACUAUUAUUUUGCCCUUAUACCUUAAAAAUGUCUUCUAAUAAAUAAAAUCUAAAAAUCUACUUGUAUAUAUUAUCACACUAGUAAUCAAGGUUGUUAAAAUCGCGAUUUUAACACGGCACGGAAAGCCGUUCACAAACUCGGAUCGUAAAAACGGAUCGUAAAAUCGUAAGGAAUUUUAAAAUACAUUAAAAUUUCACCUCAUUAAUUCAGUCCUAUAAUACUGAAAUGACAUUAAAUUCAGUCCAAUUUUCACCCCAUUAAUAUUCAACAUUUUUUCAGUCCAAUUUUCACCCCAACUCAAUCAAUUCACUCCAAUUUUCACCGAGUAAUAUUUUGCACAAUUCAGUCAUAUAUAGUAUAUACUGUGGCAUUCAAUUCAACAAUUUUCACAUCCGAUCAAUUCCAUUCAAUUCAACAUUAUACAUAUACAAUUUACAAGACCGGGCAAAAUGAAUUACAAGACUAACUAACAAUUAACACUUAACAGGAAAACAUACAAAUCUAUUACAGGGGCAAAAAUAAAGAAACCUUGACUCCGGUGAUGAUGAUGAAGGCAAAAUGAACUUACGAUGUCGCUGACUGCUAUUGAAGAUGAUGAUGAUGAGCUGAACAACUAUUGUUGAAGAUGAUGAUGAUGAGCUGAAUAGCUGCUGGUGAAAAGGCCUGACCGCCCGAUGUCGCCUACUGCUGUUGAAGAUGGGAAGGAAAGGAGAACGUUGCCGGCGUGCCGCUAUUAAUAAAGAUUGCAGAGGAAGCCCGAAGCCGUGAGCUGUUGAGGAGAUCGUUGUCGGCUCGUCGCGGUUAAAAUCACGAUAACUAGAAAAGGAAGCCGCGACCGUAAGCACUGAGGAAAGAGAAGGAGUGAAGACUGGAGUCACCGGACCGUGAGCACUGUCGCUGGCCGCUUUUGUGGAGGAUGGAGAAUAAAUCGUUGUCGCCGCCCGAUUAGGGAUUUGUUCUGUUGGAAUUGGAAAGAGUAUUUGUGAAUUGUGAUUUAUGAAAGAGUUUUUCGCCUCAAUUGGAAAUAGCAGAGUGAAGACAGUCACGUGAGUCCGUGACUGUGCAGGAAAAAUCCAAUAGGCAUCUGACAGCUAGACAUGAGGGGGGGGAUUUUGUUUCAAGGCCUCAUUUUGUCAAAAUCGCAAAAUCGGUCCUGAACUUGCGAUUUUGUGCGAUUUCAUUCGAUUUUUGAGAUUUCACUCGAUUUCAACCCGAUUUUACCCAUUUUCGAUUUUUUCAAGCAAUUCAACCCAUAAUGCAUGUUUUGACUCGUAAAAUCAUACGAUUUUACGAGUCAAAACACGAUUUUAACAACCUUGCUAGUAAUUAUCUCCCAUGUUGUUUUGUUAUUAUUGUAUGAACCAUAAAUUUCUUCAUACAAGCAAGUAUCAAUAAUUUUUAUAGGUGUGUCUUCUUAAUAGAGCAUCUACAACCACGUUUUCUUUCCAUUUUAUAUAUAAAAUUUGAUAAUACAAUCCUAUUAAUUUAGUAAGUCCUUUCUUUUGAAUAGUUGUAUGGAUCUUCUAGUCUAAUAGAUGUUUAAGACUCUCAUAAUCAACUUGGAUUACAAAUUGUUCAUGUUCUAGGUGGUGCCUUUUUUAGUCUAUUACUAUUAAAAUUACCAAACACUUCUUCUUAUAGAUGGAUAACCCCAUAUGUCUCUCUAUCAAGGCCUUGCUAAGAAAAGCAAGAGGUUUGCCCUCUUUAUUGAGCACCACUUUUAAUCUUAUAGCACACGCAUCUGUCUAUAUUACAAAAGUUUUUGUGAUAUCAGGUAAGUCUAAGAUUAAAGCCUCACUUAAAGCCUUUUAUAACAUAUCAAUAUGCUCCUUCAUUCUAUCCAAAACUAUUUGUCCUCGACAAAUCUGUGAGUGGUUUGCUUAUGAUACCAAAUUCUCUAAUGAACUUUCUAAAGUAGCAUGCCAAACAAAGAAAACCCCUAUCUGCUAAGAUUACAUGCCCAAAUAUUACAUUUGAUGCUCACCAUGUAUACACCUGGAUUUCUUUGCAUACAAUUGAUUAGUAUGAAGAGUUUUUAAGACAUGUUUCAAGUGAUGUAUAUGCAAUUCUAAGUAUGAACUAUAAACCAAUAUGUAAUAAAAAAAAAAACACUAAAACAAACUUCUUUAGAAAAAGGUUCUAAAAUGUUUAGACUGAAGCAAGCUUAGAAAUGAAUCUAAUGGAAAUUUAGGUCUCUUGGAAGAUUCUUGUUUCCUUUUUAGUGAAAGAGGGAAAAGGCAUGUGGGAGAAAGGAUUCUCAAAGGAGAGAAUCUUUCAUCCACCACACUAAGCAUAGUAGAGGUAGACCCUUGAACAAUUGGAAGUUCUCAUUCAUAUCUUAGGAUCCAUAUCAUCUAAAAACUUUUCCUAUUCCAUUAGCAUUCAUAACUGCUUAGGGAUUAGGAACUUAUUCUUGAUAGUUAUCUCGUUAAAUUGUCUAAAAUCCACAUAAUCAUACUAUUUAUUGUAAUUUUUUUGUACCAAGAAUAUAGGUGAAGCAAAAGGGUUAACAUUUUGUUGGAUUAUGUCACUUUCCAGCACCUAUUUGAGUAGCCUCUCUAUUUCUUCUUUGUGAAUAAAUGAGCUUUUGUAGGGUCUAUGAUCGACUGGUUUAGCUCUUGGUUUCAAAGGAACUCUAUGAUUACACUUUCUCACUGGUGGAAGACUUAAAGGUUCCUCAAACACCAUUGCAUACCUUCGCCAUUAAAGGGGAAAAUUUUGGGCUUCUUAGUGAGUAGUAAAGGAAUAGAGCCCAAACUUGAGGAAAUUUCAAGCAAUUCUUGAUAUGACUCCUCCGUAGAAGAUCAUAGAUGUUAGCAUCUUACCGAAAUAUUAGCUACCUUAAAAAUAAUUCAUAUCUAGGUUGGGAGAAUGCAUCUUACCUGUCUUUAAAACCUUAAAAAGCAUCAUUAAUUUUAAAUGGACACUAGAGUGCCAUGAAACUUUUGAAGCAUUCAAAAUACGCAACUCCUCUCUUAAAAUCUUAUCACUAUAAAGAGAGCAAGAAAGCUUGUUCCUUACCUGUCUUUAAAACCUUAAAAAGCAUCAUUAAUUUUAAAUGGACACUAGAGUGCCAUGAAACUUUUGAAGCAUUCAAAAUACGCAACUCCUCUCUUAAAAUCUUAUCACUAUACAAAGAGCAAGAAAGCUUGUUCCUCUAUUUUGGAGUCUCCAAUCAGGCAGUAAGUUCAGUGUUAGUCAGGAAAAAAGGAGGCGUGUGGUGUCUUGUGUACUACUAUAGUUAAACCCUCCUUAAUAUGAAGACUAGAUAUUUGAAAGUGAAAAAGGUGGUUUUACUUUGGUAAAUGCCUCAAGGAGUUGAAAGUUGACUUUCAAGCUUACUAAAUCAUUAUAUUAAGGGAUUAGCCUCUACGACAUAUACUCCACAAACCCGACAUGUCUGAAUGCUUGAUGAGGCAAGCAAUUAAACUGGAAGAGUAAGGACUCGUUUACUAGCUUAGACCCGUCAUUAAGGGACAAGCCCUAACAAAUUUUAUAGUUAAAUGCUCCUUUUAAAACAAAGAUAUGAACAAUCUUGCACCAAUUAUUGAAUAGGUAAUCCCUCCAAAAUUCACACCCUUAACCUCAUAUUGAAGGCUGUGGUGUUGGAAGAGUACUUGAAAGCCCUAAUGGACAAGUUUUUUAGUACGAAAUUCGUUUUGAGUUCUCGACUACCAACAACAUGUCAAAAUAUAAAGCUCUCCUAACAAGAUUAGGUCUAGUAAAAGCUUUGAAAGCCUCCCCCCUCUAUGACUACAAAGAUUCCCAACUUAUAGUAAGCCAAUACCAAGGGAUUUUUAAAACUAGAGACCUUAUUUUGACAAAGUAUCUCCAAAAGGUUAAGACUCUUCUUUCAAGGAUAGAAAAUGUCAAGAAAAUUUUGAUUACUCAGAUUUCCAUAGAAGAGAACAUGAAAGCAAACCUCAUAUACAAACUAGUAAGCUUCAACUUGGUUGACCUCCCCUUAGAAGUCUGGAUUAAAUUCUUAAGAACCAAACAUAGAAAAUUAACCAAUAAUUGCCUUUGUCGACAUAACAAGUGAUUAGAGAACUACUAUUGAGAAUUAUAUGCUUACAAGAGAGUUGCUCUUAGAUAAGCCAUCUGUCUAAUUGGACAAGCAAUUAGGUAUUGCAUGAUUGAUGAGAUCUUGUACAGGCGAUCUAUCUAGGCUUCUUUGUUGAAAUGCUUAUCCCGGUGAACAAUGUUUAUGUUUUACGAGAAAUUCACAAGGAAAUAUAUGAUCUAAAUAUCGGUUCUAGGGCUCUUACAACCCAAGUCACUAGAGUAGGGUUUUAUUAGCCAAUGAUCCUUAAUGAUGCCACUGAUUGGGCGAAAUGGUAUAAUCAAUGUCAAAAUUUACAUUAAUCUCUAGAUAAUCCUUCACAAAGCUAACCACCAUACCUUACUUGUGGCCAUGCACCUAAUACGAGAUUGAUAUAUUAGACCCUUUCCCAAAAGCAACGGGAAAUAAAAACUUCAUCCUAGUGGAUGUCGAUUACUUCACCAAGUGUGUUGAAGUAGAAGCACUAGUAGAUAUCACCGUCAACAAGGUCAUUUCCUUUCUAUUGAAGAACAUCAUUUGUAGAUUUGAGAUUCUAAAGGUUUUGAUUACCAAUAAUAAAUUAAAGUUCAACAAUCACAAAAUAAGGGAAUAAUGUCAAAAAAUUCAUAUCAACCAUCAACUUUCUUUAAUAUCUCACCCCAAAUAAACGAUCAAGCUGAACUUACCAAUCAGAUUUUAGUGAAUGGACAAAAAAGAAAGAUAACAGAGGUUAUAUUGCACAGAGCUAUUAAAUAAGAUCUUAUAGACCUACAAAACCACCCAUAAAAUAUCUACCAGGAAAAUUCCUUUUCUCCUCACCUAUAGAACUAAGGCCAUAAUCUUGGAUGAUAUUAGAUGUUCGAGUUAUCAAGUGGGCUACUACAUAUCAAAAUGCAACCACCUAGGCCUCAAGAAUAACCUAGAUCUUUUAGAAGAAACUCGUUUGAUUGUAGCUAUAAAAAAUAAGGCCUACCAGCAUAAAAUUUCUUGUUAUCAUAGUGCUAGGGGUAAGAACAAAAUCUUCAAGCUCGAUGACUUGGUAUUGAGAAAGCUGGAGGAAACCAACAAUAGAGAAAGUAAGAGGAAAACUAACCCUAAGAUGGGAUGGCCUUUUCCAAAUCACAAGAAUAGUAAAGGCUAAUACCUAACAUCUUCAAGAUAUUAAAAAGGAAAACCUUCCUUGCACGUGGUACUUGUCGCACGUCAAAAAAAUCCUCGCGCGGCAUCGACUGGCGAUUUUUCAUUCUGUUUAGCUGAUUUGGUUCUUUGGAGUCGCCACCUAGUAAUUCAUUGAGGGCUACUAGGAAACCUGAUGUACUGGUCUUGUCAGAGAUCGCGGGUAAGGGACUGGUUGUGGUUAGGGAAGGUAUUAGCACCCCUAACGCACCCUACCUGAGGUAAGCUGCUUUGUGGACUUGAUGUGCUAAAAAAGUUUUAAAAAUUCUGUUCUCUCAUCGAAUUUUAGAAAAUACAACUUACAUGUAAGUUCAUGAUUCUUUAUCCGUGAUUAAAUCGAAAUAUUAAAUUCUUCUUUAUUCUGGCAAUUUUAUCAUAAAAAAGACAUACACACCACAUUCACUUUCAAGCUUCGUGGACUUGAUGUGAUAUUAAAAAUAAAAUUUUAGCCCAAUUCUAAGGCUUUGAUAAAUCAGUUAUUACUUUUCCAGACUAUAUGUAGAUACAUGUUCUACAUUUCCAUGGAAAAUUCAACAUGAUUUUUAUCUGUCCUUUAGAUAUUUGUGACUAUAAAUUAAAUUCCCUUUUUUUUUUUUAUUCAAUAACAUACAUAAAAAAAAAAUUACAAUCACACACACAUCUCCUUUUUUAUUAUUUAUCACUUUCUCUUUUCUUUUCUUUUUCUUUUACAUCUACAUUUACAUAAUACAAAUAAAAAAUUCAGAAUCAAAUAAAAAAAAUUACAUCAAACAAAUUUUAAAUUACAAAAAAAAAAGCCCCUAAACAAUCUAGAAAUAACAGGGAUAGCCUUCAGCAGCCGGAACAGUGUUCAACAAAUUUUCUGGGCGCAGGAACAGUGACGACGCGUGGAUCCCACGCACCACCGCCACUGGCGGCGCGUGGGACCACGCGCCGCCGUGAAAAACAACCCGAAACAGGGGGGGUCUGCAACGACCUCCUCCCCCUUUCUUUCCUCGCCGGCGCCGACCUGCAAUAACAAUAAAAAACCUAACAAAGCAGUCGAUUUUAAUUUUUUCUUAGUUUUUUUUCAGAUCUGUUUUUUCUUCUUCUUCUCCAUAUCUGCUUCGGAUUUUGCUUCUUCUUGUCCGAUCUGGCUUCUCCUUCUCUGUUUUAGGCGACGGACGGCGCUGCUGGAGGCCGAUCUGGUUUGUGGCGGCGUUGAUGAUCACGGGUCUGCGGGGAGAAGCAGCGGCUGGGAUGGGUCGGCCAGGAGGGGGUCGGUUCGGUUUCCGUGGACGGUCUGGCCCCUCGUCUGGUCCUUGUCCGGCGUGAGGCUGAGCUCGGGCUGUUGAAGCUACGGUGGAGUUGGCAUGGCCGCUGGUCUGCGGGGAGAAGAUCAGGAAGAAGACAACGGGGAUGGAGAGGGACGGCGCCGCUGGGUUCUUCGGGUGGCAGAGGGGAUGGUCCGGGGGGAAGGAGGAAAAACAAAAUCAGAGGUAGGGGAUCGUCCGGGUUCGGUGAGAAAAAGGGAAAAAAAAUUUGAUGAGAGGUUGCUGUCCUUGGUGAUCGGCUGGGGCGAAGUUGAAGAAGAAAAGAAAAAAAAAAAUCUUUGGAGAGGGCUGUCGGCUGUGUUAUGGUCGGUUGAGGGGGGGAGCCUGGCCACCGGUUGGAGAAAAAAAAUCAAGGUGGGGGAGCUGGCGGCUGACUCCUUGAGAGGAGAAAAAAAUUAAGCUUCUAGGGUUUCUGAUUUUGUGUUCCUUCCCUCUAAAAUUACCAAAUGACCCCCCCUCCUCUUCAUUUGAGUUUUCAACGCAUAUUUAUAGGUAAAAGUUUGUUCAAACCUCCAAAUUGGUCCCUCAAUUUUCUUUUUUUUUGUAAAUUUUGAUUUUUUCUUGUUUUUUUUUCUUGUUUUUUUAAAAAUGAGCCAAAAUCAACAUCAAUUCUAUGAGAAAAACAAUGAUUUUAAAAUGACGCGUGAAAAGUCGAACGCGUUCGAAAAACAACUGAAAAUUAAAAUUCUUUUUAGAAAACAUUGAAAAUGCUAAAAACAUUGCAAAUAUAUUAAAAACAUAUUUUUUUGGAUUUUUGUUGUUUUUCACUAUUUUUGGAUUUUUUUGAAAAAUUUAUUAAAAAGGUGGGUCAAAAAUUGGGUAACAACAGUACUCAUAUCAAUAUCAUAGUCAAUAAAGUAUAAAUUAUUCAUAUAUCCAAUAUGAUUUUUGCCUCAUACAGGGAAUGUCCAAAGGCCAUAUCAAUCCAAAAUAAGGAAUCAAAAUGGCCAUCAUCCUAUAACCUUACAAAGAUGGGAUGAACAUGAUCUUCCUAAUGCGAUUGUACAAUAAAUCUAGGAAGAGAUUAAUUGUUUCCAUAAUAUGAUUGCACAAACUUACCUUAAAAAGGACAAGCGUGGUCUCCCUAGUGCCCCCACAUAACCUUCAAAGAUGAGAAUGACAACACCUUUAUCUAAAAGGGAUUGAUAUCAUCUUUCUAGGGCAAUCACCAAUAACCUCCAAGGAUAGGAUGGACAUGGUCUUCCUAGUGCUAUUGCACGAUAUGUAUUGGAAGGGAUUGAUUGUCUUUUUAGUGUGAUUAUGCAACUUACUUUGAAAGGGACAUAUGUAGUCUCACUAAUGCCCCUACAUAACCUCUAAUGAUGGGAAUGACAACGUCAUCAUCAAAAAAUUUAUUAACACCAUCUCUCUAGAAAAAUCGCCCCACAACCUUCAAGGAUAGGAUGAAUGUGAUCUCCUUAGUAUGAUUGUACAAUAAGCCUUUAAAAGGAUUAAUUAUCUCCUUAAUGCCCCUACACAACCUCUAAGGAUAUGAAUGGCAAUACCAUUAACAAAAAAAAAAUGAUACCAUUUUUCUAGGGCAAUCGCCCCACAACCUCCAAAGAUAGGAUGGACACGAUCUUCAUAGUGCAUUGUAUAAUGAGCAUUGGAAAUGAUUAAUUGUCUCUCUAAUGUGAUUACACAACUUACUUUGAAGGGGACAAACAUGACCUCUCUAGUUUCCUUGCACAACCUCUAAGGACAUGAAUGAUAACACCAUCAACAAAGGAGAUAUAAAUCUUCCAAGGCAAUAGCCAACAAUCUCCUAGUAACGAGGAAAACUUGACCUCCACCAAUUACUGUACAAAACAAUUUUCAUUUCCAUAACAUGAAUGCACAUGUAAUACUAGGGGUGUUUCAAUAAGUCUGUUGAACACACAAAUGUAUACUUGCAACCCAAGAGUUCUCCUCUGUUCAGCUAGAUGGGUGCUGAACCUAAGGUGGUAUAAAUGCGAUUGAGCAUGAGACCCAAAAGUGUUCAACUGAUAGGUUUAGACCCAUAAAUAUACAAAUAAAAGAUAAGUGUUGGACCUUGAGAAAAUCUCUACACUAAGGUUUUAAGACCACACAAAUUAAAAAGACAUGAAAUAUUUUUUAUCAAAAGAAAUUCUCAUUACACAAAUGUAUGUUACAAACAUCAUUCUUACAAGACUAAAGUGUAUAUAAGAAUAUACAUACUAAUAAAAAUAUAAGGAGGCUUAAAGGUUUAACAUAGGCUCCUUGACCAAAUACACUCCCUAGUGGGCAGUAACGAUCCUAAUAGGAAAUACAUCCUUAAAAUUAGGCAUGAGGAUGGGAUGAAAGACAAUACUAAAAUUCACAUGCAUUCCUUUAAAGCGUUGAAAAAGUACAGAUUGAAUAUAACCAAAAAAAUCUUGUCCCCAGCCACUUUAGACAAGACUGUCUACCCUUCAAAAAAAUUUUGGAAGUCCCUAACAAAACUUUUUAAUGCCUCUAACCUCGCUUGAGAGUUCUUGACUUGCUUUUUAGCAUAUUAGAGCUCCAAACACAAGACAUCUUUAGAUGUCCGUAAAUCCUUUGUAGCCUGCCUCAAAGUAAUAACUUUAAAAAAGGCCUUCUGCAACCACUAUUUAGUGGAGCUUAUGUGAAGAGUCGCGUCCUUCAUCUUACCCAUUAAGGAGGUGUAGACUGCUUUUGAAUCUCUCAACUUGGCCUUCAUGACGACCUUCUCUUCCUUAAUAUCUUGUUUAUGCUUUUCAUUUCCUUUACUAUACUUAUGUUCUUAUGUUGUGUAUUUAUGUUUCUCUUCUUCAUUAUGUUUAGGUAAGUUUAUUAUGUUAAGGUGAAGAGGUUUCACUAAUGGUGUUAGAAUAGGUAUAAUAUAAACUCAACAUGGACUUCAAUGUUUAUAUCCAAGAAAGUUUGUUAUUAACAUGUCUUAUCUUUUUAUCUUACUAAUUCUUAAUACCUUACUUGUUAAAUGGUUAAUCUAGAUUUGUGUGUAUAACACUUGGUUCAACAAAUGCUUGGCACUUUCAUAGUCAACCGUAUGGUAUAACCUAUACAUGUGCUAUGAAAGGAACUUGAUUUGUUGUUAACAUAAGUUAGCAUCAUGAAUUCCUGAUAAUAUUUAAAAGUUUGGUGUUACUUAAAUAAGAUAAUUAAUAUGAUCAUGUUAACAAUUUAUAAUGAAUUAUUAAGGAUAAAUCAUCCGAUUGGAACCUUCUUUGUGUGUGGUUUCCAGUUGAUUAAUAAAAAGAGUUUAUACUAUACUUAUUUCUAAUAUUAUUAGUGGAUCCUCUAACCUUGACAUUUGUUUUUAUCAUUGUUUUUCUCAUCAACUUCUUUUUCUUUUUUUAUUGUUGUUGUUGUUGUUGUUGUUGUAUUAUUGUUAUUUAUAAUUUAUACAAUUAACCUCCCCAUGGUUCAACCUCGGUCUUGCCGGGUUAUUUAUUACUUCGAUACUCCUACACUAGGGAGAAGACAUCAAUCUUUUGGUCGUGUCAAUGGGACAUGAUCAAACGCAAGAUAAAAAAAGUGUCCUCAAACUCUUGGCCUUGAGAUGUGGACUCCAUAGUUGUAGCCUUCAAAACCACAAUAAAAGAUGAGGACAGAGGGACAAACAUCUCCACUACGAGGGAUCGAAUGCUUGCCUCCAUAACGGUGGAGGCCCUCCUCAUUUUUUAAAUGGGCAACGAUGCUUAUUGUCACUUUUAGGGGAGUCUGGUCAACAUGACCCCCAACCAAAGAGGUAUGACUCUCCUCAGCUUUUAUUUAGGCAGGAACUUCAACCUCCAUCAUUGCUCCCUUAGGAAAUGAGAGCCCAUCCAAAGAAUCGGGUCAUGCUUUAUUUCUUUUUCAAGAAAUAAAAAUAAUUCUCUUGGUGAUGACAAACUCUUUUCUACUAAUCUAGUAGAGGUCUCUCCUGCUUCAUCAAUUGUUAACCCUGAACAAAAAUAAAAUCAAAUGUGAUUUUUUGUUGAAUAAAGACAAAAUGAGAAAAUUUGCAUACUUUGUGACAAGUUUGAGUAUUCCCCUUUAGUCAUCCUAUUAACUUUGUAUUCCAUUAAAGUUGAAACCAAUAACUAAGAGCUUCCUUCUCGCCAAGACUCAAACAAGGUCUAUUGUUUACCUUACGAUGAGGCACCUUCCAGUAAUGGAAACAACCUCAUAUUUGGUACAUACCUCCUAGAGGGCUAAAUAUCCCAGUGUACCUUAUUAUUAGCCAUCCCUCUCCAUUUCUUUAGGUACAUGAGCUUUUCCUUGAGAGCUUUUCACAUGGCUUUAUCAGGGUUAUUGGUAAAAAUAAAGAAUCAUCAGAAGUCGUUACCUCUAUAACUACCCAUGACCAAUUAGUAAUAAGCUUUAAAAAGAUUUACGAUGGGAUCUACAUUGACAAACUUAAAAAACUUGUGAAAUGCUAAUAAGAUCACCCACUAAAGUGUAAUUGUCUCAAUCCUAACCUAUAAUAUUUAAAAACAUUGCUAAUAAACCCUUGAAGAUGGAAUGAAUGUUCUAUUUCAUACAUACACAAGGGGGUUGUAAUUUUAAAGCAUCUCGAGUAGAAGCCAUGGUCUCUUCGCUGAUUUUUUCUCUCUUAGAUGACAAAUAAGCCACAUAGGUUCUAGGUUGUCGACCAUUGACAUCUCCCCAACACUUAAAGUGAUGGGAGCGUCAUCUAUGGGGGUUGGAGGUGACCUUUCCCUCUCUUAAAAACCCUUUGAAGCACUAAGUGAAAUAAUGUUCACGCUUUCAUAAUCAGAUCUAACCCUAUAAAUGUCUUUUUUUUUUUAAGAAAAAGGAAAACGAUGUACAAAAUAAAAAUAUAGGAGUGACUUACUCAAGAAAUCUCCAAAUCAACUUAACAACGACUGCAAAACGUACAAAAAAAAUGAUGAAGGUAAACAAUUGGGUUUAUAAAGAAAACGAUUUAUCAUCUUAACUAUUGGAUAAAGGAUAUGUCAUAGCAUCUCAAAUCCCUAGAAAUCUACUCAAAUAAUUCAUUAAAAGCAAGUCGUCUUUUUUUUUUUCCUAAAAAAAACCUCCAAUAAAGAUGUGAUGUCUAGCCCAAAAGGAUCUCAACAAUUCAACAUUGGAAAGAAAAAACAUUUGGGGAUGGUAAAGAGAUCUCUUGAUUAAAAAGGAUGGCCCUUUUAAGAUCUUUGCACAUUAAAUACACAAAGACUUGGGGGGCUAUUGAUGAAUUGAUAUAUUUUAUAUUGAAAACUAUUUUUUUCCUCAUAAAAUCCAUAACUAGAAGGGAUCGAGAGAAAAAAAAUCCAUUAUAGAAACUUAGCAAAGGCCAAGGCCCAUAGCAAAAGAAACUAUUAUAAUAAAGUCAUUGAAUUAAUCAUUGAAAGGUCUUAAAAUAAUCUAUAAAGAGAGACUAUCUUGCAGGAAAUCCGGCUCCUGUCAACAACCUUUGGAAUCCUGAGUUAUAGAUAAUAAAAGAUGAGCAUGAUCAUCACCAUCAUUCAAACACGUUGAAAAGUAACUUACCUAGCAUUCUGAAUUAUAGAGCAUCAUUGGUACCCUAAUCCGGGCCACAAUUUUGUUAGGUCUUUAGUUCCCCGCAUCCCGCGCCUCCAACUUAAAAGCAUACCAACUAAUAUUAUUAUAAUAAUUUAAUUUAUCACAGGCCUUCAUAGGGACUGCUGGAAAAAUCCUUCAGAAUAUCCAGGAAGGUGUGUUUGAAAUCCAAUGAGGUAAUCAUUUAAUAGGCAGUGUUUGGAAUAGUUGAUACUUUCUGGAACCAUCCAUUUAUCGUUUCAGUGCAAGUUGAUGUUUGUUUUGUUGAUACUUUCGCUGUUACAAAUGCAGCCUUCAGGGAUCAAGGUUUGGAUAUGGCCCCCAAGGCGCAUCAGGUGCAAGGGGUGGAACUGUUGCUCAAAGAGGAGGGUGCUGCGGCUAAUUAAAACACAAAUAGAACUUGUUUAUUUGCUCUUAUUGUGCAAUGUCCUUCUGCACAUCCGGAUCCCUCGAAACUUUCAUGUGACUGCAGACGAACAUUUAAUGUAGAGAUCAAACAUCAGUUAUCUGAAGUCAAUUGAUUAAGUUAUGAAAGCCCGCAUGUUCAUAGCUUUUCUGAAACGUAAUUUUUUUUAUUGGAGAUUCAUGACUCCACCUAGCACAGUAUUGCAAGUUUAUCUGAAAUCAUCUACCAACGCGCAUCAUGAAAACAGCUGCUCCAUUUUUUAAUGGCGAGUGGUUGAAGAGGCGCAAGCAGGUAACCAUACAUGUCAACAGACUUGCUGCCGCUAUAUGAGCUCUCAGUUGAGGUCAGGAUGGAUACAAACAGACUGGAGGGCCUCUUCUCCUUUAGAUUUACAAAGAUGCUCUGAGACAUGGAGCUUCCUCCGUUCGGUCAGAAUAUGCUAGAGAGAGAUCCUUGACCUAAAAUAGAUUCUGCACCAAGAAACUCAUGCGAUUGAACGUAGAUGAUUGCAGCCUGGGUCAGGGGAAUCAUCUAUUCACACUGCACGCUGCCUUGUUACCAAUAUCUUGCAUCCAAAUUUGCAAGUUUGGGUGCCUUGUAAAGGCUGAAAGAGAACAAGACCGGACCGGCAGGAGCUCCAUGAGCAAAAUAAUGAUCUUAAAACAGAUUGAUGAUUGUAAAAUACACAGGUUUCCAUAUGAUCUUACAAUGCUACUGUUGAUGAGUUACUUCAUUUUGAUCAAAUCAUCAAAUGUUACAAACAGUAUCAAAAUUGUGAGCAGCGCUUGUAUCAAAAUGCACCGCAUGCAUAGGGAAGAGAAAAGCAAUAAAUCUUAUCACAUAAGCUCCUCAUCCUGAGCAUAAAGUGACAUGCUCGCAACCCAUCACUAUGAACCACCAAAUACCUGCAUACAGCAGCAAAACUUAGAUCCAAGGAAUAGAUUAGGUGAUGAAAGUUGUUACCUACAAAUAAUGACUCACCCCUGCCAGGACAUCUUUAGAGAGUUGAGGUUUGCUUCUCUCUCUUUCAGCAAUUGGUUUUUUCUGUGGGAAUUGUCGGCAAACCGUUGGUUUCUGUGGGGCAACAGAAAGUUCACCUCCAGAUUCUUGUUGGACCUUCUGCUUCUAUAAAUAGAAAAGGAAACCCAUCACGUAAAGGAGGUUGAAGAAUAUAUGAUGCCAUGCCAUAAAAAAGAGAGAAAAAGUCCCAGAAUGCAUAUGGUGAAACCAUUUAUUUACAUUACAAGAAAGACAUACUAAACAAAGCAGAAUGACAUGAAAUUCACGAGACUUUAUAAUUAGUUAGGGGUAUCAAGGCAUCAGCAUGUACAAAAAAAAAUUUCCAAUAAAAAACAAAACCAUUCAAAACUAAGAUUUUAUUAUAUAUAUAUUUUUUAACACAAGGAGUGUUAGAUAUCCAAGUCGUUCAAAAUAGGAAAUAACAAUUGUCUGGCAAAAUUUGAGAGACUAUAUUUCAUGUUCACACAGACGCAUUAUACACACACACACACACACACAUAUGCUACAUCUUUAUCAGUUGCAAAUUGCAAGCAUGCUGCCCUUAAACCCAAUCAAGUACAUGCCUCUAAAGCACCUACAUUUUCAAGUUCCCUCAAAAACUUAUGGUUACCGGCUUACCCAUCAGAGCUUGCCAUGUCCAAUGAAAUGAAAAGAUAACUGGUUUUGACAUUUACUGACAUAAGGAGCUAGGAGGGGUAUAAUAAAGUCUCUUUGUUAAGUAUUCAUUGAGGAUUUUAUAAUAAUUAUCACAUAAGCAGCAUAUUAAGGAUUACAAUAACAAAGAGUAUCUGAUUAGUGUUCAUUGAGGAAUUCAUCAUAGAUGAUCAUGUAAGCAGAGCAUAUUCUAAUGCAUGCUCAACACCUAUGGAUGUGAAAUACAGAUUUGAAAACAUCACGUAAAUAAAACACAAAGAUAUGUAUGCACAUCACCUCCCUCUGAUAACAAUACCCCCUCAAUCCUCCUAUUCCUAUUCCUCUUAUUUCUUCCAUCCUAUUGAAGAGAACUACCUUUUUUUAAUCAAAUUUCAUUGAUAUAAUUAAUUUCAACCAUAUAGAAGGAGCUGACACAUGGCAUCGUGUCUCAGCUGUGUCCAUACAUAGCUCAUCAUGAAAGUGUCAUGCUACUGAGGGAAGGAGGCUAACUCUUACAAAACAAAAGGAGCCUAUUCGAUCAGACGUCAAAAUGAUUUACUUGCCUCUCUAUAUAAACAAAAAAAAAUCAUUUAAUUACAAGUUUCAAGUACCUACUAACAAAUUUCAGAUUCACAAUGAAAAUAUCUGGCUUUAACUGAUUCUAAGCUAGCCAUACUGCCCAACUAUUGUGCCAAACAUACUUAAACUGGCCUAGAAGGAACUUGAGUAUUGUAGUCCUGACACAGAGAAUGAAAAGCCAAGUUUAAUUCCUUAUACAGGUCCAUCAAAUUGAUGACUUGAGCAAUGCCAAAAUAUCUCAAAACAGCACCAUAGAUGAUGGUUCCAGGAAAAAACAAGUCUGCAACAGUGAGAAGUUAUAGAUGCUGUUUACCUUCUUCAUUCGUUCUUCAAUAGAGCUUAAAGCACGAGACUGGUCAACUUUUUUGAGAUAGAAAUCCCGCUCCCUCUUUGCAGCAGAAAUUUCUAGCGCUAAUUUUUGUUCCCGAAUAGCUUUCUUGUAAGCUGCAUUUAAAGCACUAUAAUUUAGACAAUAAACUGUAAAACAUGAUAAGAUAGAGCACAACAGAAACGAGUGAUAUACCAAUUUCAUCUGUAAGAUUAUCCCAUUUGAAUUUACUUAGAUACUUGAUAUUCCAAUGAUCAUAAUAGAAUUGUGACCGCUUCUUCCCACCUAAAAAAAAACAAGACAAAGAUGAAAUUAAAGAACACUUGGGAGGAAAAAAUAAGUAAAUUAUUUACAAAGCAAUAGCACACAUAAGCUAACCCCUUUUUUUUAAAAAAAAAAAAAAAAACAGAUAUGACAAAGAAUUGGUAAAAUCAACAACAAAAAAAAAAUCUAUACAAAGAACAAGAACUUGACAUGUUUCCUUGAUGGUUUCUCUACAGAGCAAACUAAAAAUUCUCAUUCAACCAACAAAACAAAAGGUACAUAAAAAAAAUUUAUAAAUUACCUAUUUGUUCACCAUUUAACAAAUUAGCAACCCUUUUAGCAUUACUUUUACUAGCAAACUCAACCCACCUGAAAAACACAACAAACAAAGCAAUUACAUAAUAAACAACACAAUUCAAAUAUAUGUUCAUGUAAUUAACACAAAACAAUGUAUGAAAAUUACCCUUCAGAGUAUAAUUGAGCUUUAGCUCCACCACCUCUUUUUCUACUCUUAUUAUUAUCAUUCACUUGAUCAAUCGAAGAACUAUCUGCAAACACACAGCAAAAAUUUCUCAAUAAAAUUGAAAACCCAUUUUUCUCCUUAUUUUAAAAUAUAAACACAAAAGAAGUAUCAGAUACUAUACUUUGAGGAGCAAGGUAAAUUCGUUGAAUUUCACCGUACUGACUGAGAAGUUGACGAAGCUUAACAUGAUCCAUACCAGGAGGAACUCUACUUAUGUAACAAACACCACGCUUAUGAGCCUUUUCUGCUUCUUUCUUUAACUUUUUCUUCUUUCCCUCCUCUAAAAACAACACUUGUUCUUGUUCUUUAUGUUCCUCACACAUUCUUUCCUAAAAUCAAAAAGGAAAGAAAUGGAUAAAACUACAUAGGCUAGGUUAACCUAGCUUCAGGUUAGCUGAAAUACAAAAUUCAUAACAAUUAUCCCAUCCUUAAAAUUUUAGAAACUAAACAUGAAGACAACAUUAAUAAACAUUCUAAAAGGCUAAGAGGCAUUGAGGCACUCACCUAGGCACUCCAUGCAAGGCAAAGCAAGGCCACAACACCUUUAUUAGCCUCGGGCGAUGAAUUUAAAUGAAGUGCUGCCUAGGCGAUUGCCUCGUGAGUGGGCACCAGGUGUUAAAGCGAGUGCCUCACUGAAAUACUUCUUUUUCUGUUGGAUUUUCCCUUUUUUAAAAAAUAAUUUAUGUUUUGACCUAUUUGUCCAUUUUUUUAUUUAUCACAAGAAACAAGUUAGGGGUAUUUAAAAAAAAAAAAAAACAAAGAUUAGGGUAAAAAAAGAAUAAAAAAAAUCUUAAUUGGAAAGAUAUAUUUUUUAGAUUUAUAUAAUAUAAUAUAAUAUAAUAUCAUAUCAUACAUGUAUAUUUUUUAAUCUAUAGUAUAUUGCCUUGGUUCAUUCGGGCGAGUGCCGAGCACCUCGGUCAUUUUACAGGCUUUGUGCCUUCUACACCUUUGACAACACUGAUGCCAAGCUAGCCAUUGUUUCAAUCCAAGAAUUAUUGACUGAUAAUAGAAUUGCAUGAUAACAAUAGCACAGUGAUGAAAAUAAAACUUCCCACCACACAAGUAACUUUGUCGCAAACUUCUCAAAUACAUUAAUGUACAUACAUCAGCAUCCAUUGAGAGAGAGAAUAAAACCCGGCCGGGAAAAAAAACCAGUAACAUACCAGUCUGGCACGCUCUCCCUUUUCUUCGGUAGCUUCAUCGUUAAAAGUUUUCUCGACCUGCAAUAUUUUCCAAGUAAAGUCAACUUCAAAAACAAAAUUCCAAAACUAAAAAAAGAAAUGGGAAGCACUAGUCAGCAACCGGCAUACCACCAUUGCAAAGUUUAAACCUAAAGUCAUCCGGACUAUCCACACCAUUAAUCAAAUCCAUGCAUAAAACCCUAAGAAUUCUAAAAAUAAUUCAAAUCAAUGCAUUACAAUGAAAAUUGAAAAGGUUAAAAACGAGAAAGACCGGAACAAUCAAUAAUGUUCGAUAAGAAAAUGGAAGAUUUCUUAGGAAAUCCAAAGAAAGCUUGAUUUUCUUCCCCUUUUAUCAAAAUCCAAAGCAUUAAAGCCUCAAUGCUGGCGUGUAGCCUAGCCUAGCCUUCUCCUUCCCUUUCUUUGGUGUUUGACAGACUGGACAAGAAUCUAGAAAGAAAAAAAAAUUCCUCACCAUGACUCACGGUAAUGGAUCGGGAUGGCCUGCGGCUGCUGCCGAUGCUUCUGGAGCUACUACUACUGCUUCUGUAGCGGAGGCUGAAGGUGGCUGCUGCGAAGGAGGAUGGCAGACGGCGGUGGUGGAAAAGACUUAGGAGGAGGCUGCUGGAACUGGGUGAAUAGCAAGCGAGGAAGAACAAUCGUC